CGGGAUCUUUUGGGAGCUUGCUCUUUGGAAGAUCUAGUGGCGGACGGGUGAGUAACACGUGAGCAACCUGCCGAGGAGUGGGGGAUAACGUCUGGAAACAGACGCUAAUACCGCAUAACGUUGCGAGAUGGCAUCAUCUUGUAACCAAAGGAGAAAUCCGCUUUUUGAUGGGCUCGCGCCCGAUUAGGUAGUUGGUGAGAUAAUAGCCCACCAAGCCUGCGAUCGGUAGCCGGACUGAGAGGUUGAUCGGCCACAUUGGGACUGAGACACGGCCCAGACUCCUACGGGAGGCAGCAGUGGGGGAUAUUGCACAAUGGGGGAAACCCUGAUGCAGCGACGCCGCGUGAGUGAAGACGGCCUUCGGGUUGUAAAGCUCUGCUAACGAGGACGAUAAUGACGGUACUCGUUAAGAAAGCCACGGCUAACUACGUGCCAGCAGCCGCGGUAAUACGUAGGUGGCGAGCGUUGUCCGGAAUUACUGGGUGUAAAGGGAGCGCAGGCGGGGUUUUAAGUUGGAUGUGAAAUACCACAGCUUAACUGUGGGGCUGCAUCCAAAACUGGGACUCUUGAGUGAAGUAGAGGUAGGCGGAAUUCCUAGUGUAGCGGUGAAAUGCGUAGAUAUUAGGAGGAACACCAGUGGCGAAGGCGGCCUACUGGGCUUUAACUGACGCUGAGGCUCG
rnacentral:rRNA from 1 species